AAACAACUACGAGUGAAAACUUAAAACUUAAAAGACUUGACGGUACUUCACACUCAACCUAGAGGAGCCUGUCUACUAACCGAUAAUCCACGAUUAACCCGACCACCCCUGGCCACCCAGCCUAUAUACCGCCGUCGCCAGCCUACCUUGUGAAAGAAACCAAGUAGACCAAAUAGUAACACACUAACACGACAGGUCGAGGUGUAGCUAAUGAGGUGGACCAAGAUGGGCUACAUUUUCUAACACAGACAAUACAGACAAGCUAUGAAACUAACUCCAAAAGGCGGAUUUAGAAGUAAGCUAAGAACACAAUACCUAGCUGAAAUAUGCAAUGAAGUGCGU
rnacentral:rRNA from 1 species